UGAGGUCUGGUGUUCAGAGCCUGUGUCGUGGCAGAGUCCUCUUCCUGUUGCCGCUGGAGGGCUGUUAGUCAUCCAGGUGGUUUUAGGGAAGAAAAAUAGAUGAUUCACCUGAACAUUUUCACUACCAGAAGCCGUACAAUGUGGAAAUGCUCCAUGUUCCAGGAUCAUGUUUUAAAACAUGCAGAGAAAACUACUGCACAACAAAAUUGGCAAGAGAUAAAUUGGACUGAAGAGGAGGAAACUCUGCUUUGAUGUUCAGCGGUGUUCAACAUAGCUGAAUCACAUAGCUGAACCCCCAGCCAAAAUAGAAACACCUGGAUUGCUACCUGUUUUUUGUAUAUUUGUGCCCAGUCUUUCCUAGUGCUGUGUAUGGAACAUAAUGUCUUUUGAGCCAAGGCUAGUUCGCACAUGCAUGUGUGUGCAUCGCUGGACAAUUUGCCACUCAAAAAACCAGGCCUGGUGCCAUGACCUGGUCCCCUUGAGGAGCUGCUGGUGCUGCCAUAUGAACUGGUUCAGAGGUAAAACACUGUGGUCCAAGUGAUCUUUUUUGUCAAUGCAAUCCUUAAAAAGCUAUAGCCUGUUUAUUGGUUCAGCAUUGCAGCGUUAGCAAUGGUUUGUAGCCAUCAUGCCGCAUCACUUGAUGAUUGCAACUUCAAGUGGGUGCCAAGACAGGUCUAGUUAAAAUCCACCCUCCCCUGUGACAUUACUGCAUAGCCUUAGGCGAGCUGUUCUCCCAGCCUCCAGCGAUUGGCUCUAAAAGUCUUUAAAGCAGCCUGCCCAAACCUUGUGCCUUUCAGAUUUUGGACUCUAACUCCCAUCAGCCCCAGCCAUCAUGGACAGUGGUCAGGAAUGCCAGGAGCUGUUGUCCAAAACAUCUGUUGAGCACCAGGUUGGGGAAAGCUGGUGGCCCCCAGACUGUGGAAUGAUCUCCCUGAUGAGGCUCGCCUGGCGCCAACGCUGCUAUCCUUCCGGCACCAGUCCACGGCUAGGGUUGUGACAUCAGCACAGCAGAAGGCUGGAAAGACCAUUACUGCUCGAAUCACUGGCCGAUCUGAUUUUGCACCCAGGAAUCGGAUUUACAGUAACCUCAAUGUGUUGGGUGUUUCUCCUCCUAUGAAUUCUGUUGUAGUGGAAAAACAUCAUCCAGUCACUCAACAAUAUGCAGUCAGCCAGUGGAGGUUUGAGGGUAUGGCGUAAGCUGCUGCCGCUGCCAGAGAAAGGAGUAUGCUGUUUUGAUGCAAAGCCAACUUUUGUCAAGGAGAACCAUAAAGCUGUUAUGCUUACUUUGAUUUAUGGUGAGACAAUUGCUUUGUUAUAAUUUGCUGCUACA